rnacentral:rRNA from 5 species
UCUGGCGGCGAUAGCGCGGUGGUCCCACCUGACCCCAUGCCGAACUCAGAAGUGAAACGCCGUAGCGCCGAUGGUAGUGUGGGGCUUCCCCAUGCGAGAGUAGGGAACUGCCAGAC